CAAUACUCGGAAUUCACCUUGACCUCAUUAAUAUUUGGACAGAAAAUCAAUAAUCAGCUGAUUGCAUUUUAUAGCUAUCGACAACAAAAGAUUAAUUAAUAAAGGUGUUGAUUGAAUUGUUUGACAAAAUGAUAUGGUUAAAUGGCUUCCACUAAAUGUCACACACAGAAUUUAUGUACCACUUUGCGACGCACGUGUUUGAAGCAAACUUUUGACGUCUCCUCUCCUCUU
rnacentral:lncRNA from 1 species